UAUAAGGCGCACUCUCGGCUUUUGAGAAAAUUGAAGGUUUUUAGGUGCGCCUUAUAGUGUGGAAAAUACGGUACACAACUAUUAAAAACAAACAUGCUACUCCCAUUCUGUGAUACAAAGUUGAUUGGUACAACUCUGACUGCAUUUUCUAAAUAUAAAAAAGGACUAAAACCUGCUACUGAAAUAUUGUCUCUCUCUCUGGAUAUUGAGCUGUUAGCAUGACAUGAUAGUCAUGCUAACAGCAACAGUGCCUUCAGUCUGACUUCUACCACAGACUAUUCCGGUAGAAGUCAGCAUCACAAUCCACAGCAACCAGACGUGCAAACUGGUUGAGCUACUCCAAAACAGUAUUACUUUUUAAUAAUGGCUUAAAAAGUAAGCCAUUAUUUCUUAUCUAAAUCUGGGAAUACGACUCUAUUUAGGCGUACAUCAUCCUGACUCACAAUCUCACUCUCAGUAAACUCUUAAAAGGUUGCAGAAAAUGAACUGGUAUUUUCAGAAGCCACAGUGAGUACAAAAUGUUCCCAAGGUAGGUAUAAAUUGAUGCAUUGUUCUGUAUUAACAGUCCUGCCGCAGACAAAAGGAACCAAUCAAUGAAGUCACAUCAUCUGUUUUUGGAAAGAAGUGGAGUGUGUUAACCAUCUGUAUCAGUCGCUGAAGUUUUCAAAUCAGUAGCAGUCAUCUUCUUAUUUCCUUUGAUUAAGGUUUCUUUUUUUUUUAUCUUAAAUGCAAUAUUGAAAUACAUUUUUUUCUUUAUGGGGAUUCUCUGAGUACUUUGUAGGAAGAUCUUAGUUUUCGUUUAAAAAAAGUUCAUGCAUCCACAGAAGCAAUUUGAUCACAUUUUAUAUGUACUGUUAGUUUAUCCAAUACAUUGCUGUAAUUGCAUCCUUUUUGUUGGUCCCUCAAAUUUAUAUGAACUCAUAGAACAUUACUGAGAUUUGGGCGAUGCGCAAAUGGGAAGAUCUUAGUUUUAGCUAUGCAUAUUAAGUACUCUGAUUAACCGAUCAUUCAUAGGACGGCAAAGAUGUAUUACUUAGUACAUAUUUUACAUUUUUGUAUAUAAAUAUAUAUUUCAAUGAACGUGCGCAAUGUGGUAAAAAAAAGAAAAUGGAUAGAUUUUUUUUUCUUUUUUUUACUAAUAUGUCAGUGUUGCCAGGUUUUUCAAAAAAUAAAGCGUUUAAGACUGAAACUGUUGGAUUCUAAAGGAAAUUCCUUUAUCACAGAUGGCUCUUAACGAUAAGACAUGCUGGCUUUGGCCUCUACUGCAUGCUGUGCUACGAGUUUAUUGAGAAUGAUAAUAGAACUGUGAACAUCAGCUUGUUCCAGUCAGACAUGCUGGAAUUUGCAUGAUGCAUGACACAAGGUUGCAACGAAGGACAAACCGGGGAGACACUCGUGAAUUUCAAACAUUCUGAGUUUGUCUGAAUAUGUUAUAAACACACAGUGGCCCUUACCAUGUGCCUAAAAUUUUGAUCAGAGCUGCAUUCUAGAAUCAAGACCCACACAGAAUGCCCAUGAAGACAUUUAUAAAGCAACAUAAACAUAUACAAUUUCAUAGGAAAUCUCAACUUUUCCCCCCCUGUAUUUAAAGAAGCAUUGUUAUCCAUUUCCAGUCUAACAAUUAAGGCUUUAACUUUAUUGUCACACCUUGUUUAUUUCUAAUAUAUUGGUAAUUGCAUUAGUGAAUAAAUAGCAUAUUCUUGGGCUUCAUCUCGGAGCUUCAGUCCUCAGCUUGGUUUCCUGCCCACUCAGCUCCUUCAGACUAGCAGCAGCAGCAGCAAUUGGCAAACACCUGGUGGAACUGCAUAUCUGCUGAGUUUAUCAUACGAACUACAACACUCCUAAAAUUGGCUGUAAACUGCACACAGUAAAAAUGCCAGUGUUAAAAUCUCAGGUGUAGUGUUAAAUAAAGAGUGUGAGUGUUGUUUUGACACCACACAGCUUUAAAAUAACACUGCAAGUGUAAACUCCGUAAUAUUUGCGUUGUUAAAUUCCAGUGUUAAUUGGUUGGUGUUGCUUAAGCCCCGCCUUCGCGUAACGGCUGCAGAGCACGUUCUACCUUCUGUCGUCACGCCACCAGCCAGUCGGUCGGUACGGCUUCAUUUCGCACACGGAAGACACAAUUCUUUCCUAAAGGUGAGCUAAAUAUUCAUACAUGACCAUUGUUUCGUUGGAAAUGUGCUUUUUAGUUUGAGACUUCAAAGAGUGCACGAUAUUCAACCCAUUUUGCAUGGAAAAUCCACCAAAUUCAAGGUCCCGCCGUUUUGCCAAAUCUAGGCGAACGGUAAAUUUGAAUUCUGUUAUAUUUGGUAAGUUCUAGUUGUCAUUUUAAACCAUGGAUAAUACUUGUAUUUCUGUAUUAUUUGAAAUAUUGGCGAUGUGUGUAUCUAAAAAGCUAACUUUGCAAACGGUAGCAGAUUCUGACUAGCUAGCUAGCUCAACACUCUAGCUUGGAUGAAGUGUAUAUAGUUGACAGAGCUGACGUGUUCAAAGUGAUAGUGGAAGUGAUAAAGGGUUGGUUUAAAAUAUCUGUAAGGUGGCAAAGCUUGGACCGUGUCCCUUUUUUGUUAUGCAGAAAUGCUGGUUCAAGUGGAGUAUCAGACCGUCCAGAAAUGGGUUCGGGUUCCAGUGACGGAUGACUGCUAUGAUUACUUGAAAUUCAUGCUCGAGGUUCAUGUUAAAUUCAAUUUGGCAAGUGAAAUCUGUGUAGACCUGAAGGAAUCUUCUGGAGUUGAUGUGGAUGCUGAUAUUUUUGAUGAACUCCUGAGGUCUGCUACAGUGUCUUUCAAAGUAGUAACUAACACUUUGUGGGCGCCGUUGACGAGAGUGAGGUAACAGACGCUUCCUUCAGUUCUGAAGAUGGGUUAGCCUCGUCAGUUCAAUCUCCAAGCUCAGCGAUCUCAUCUUCUACAGUGAUCACAGAGAACACCAAAGCACAGAGAUGACGACUGGCUGAAGGACCACCUGACGGCAAGAUGG